rnacentral:rRNA from 1 species
GACGAACGCUGGCGGCGUGCUUAACACAUGCAAGUCGAACGAAGUGGCGAACGGGUGAGUAACGCGUAAUCAACCUGCACAUCAGGGGGGGACAACAGGUGGAAACGACGGCUAAUACCGCAUACUGAAGGAGGGGAUGGCGUCUGAUUCGCUAGUUGGAGGGGUAACGGCCCACCAAGGCGAUGAUCAGUAGGCGGUCUGGUCGGAUGAUCGGCCCCGUUGGGACUGAGACACGGCCCCGGCUCCUUCCGGAGGCAGCAGUUGGGAAUCUUCCGCCAUGGACGAAAGUCCGACGGAGCCCAGCCGCGUGAGUGAUGACGGCCUUCGGGUUGUAAAGCUCUGUUAAUCGGGACGCGGUACCGGAAUAGGAAGCCACGGCUAACUACGUGCCAGCAGCCGCGGUAAUUC